CGUCAAGUCCUCAUGGCCUUUAUGACCAGGGCUACACACGUGCUACAAUGGCCGGUACAGAGCGCAGCGAACCCGCGAGGGGGAGCCAAUCGCAUAAAACCGGUCUCAGUUCGGAUUGGAGUCUGCAACUCGACUCCAUGAAGUCGGAAUCGCUAGUAAUCGCGGAUCAGCACGCCGCGGUGAAUACGUUCCCGGGCCUU
rnacentral:rRNA from 1 species